AAUCAACGCUGGCGGCGUGCCUCAGACAUGCAAGUCGAACGCGAAAGUCCCCUCCGGGGGACGAAGUAGAGUGGCGCACGGGUGAGUAACACGUAGGUAAUCUACCUUCGGGCGGGGAAUAACAACCGGAAACGGUUGCUAAUACCGCAUAAUGCAGCGGCACCUAAUGGUGACAGUUGUUAAAGCGGGGGAGUCGCAAGACCUCGCACCUGAAGAGGAGCCUGCGGCGGAUUAGCUAGNGGUAGGGUAACAGCCUACCAAGGCAACGAUCCGUAGCCGGCCUGAGAGGGCGGUCGGCCACACUGACACUGACAUACGGGUCAGACUCCUACGGGAGGCAGCAGUCGGG
rnacentral:rRNA from 1 species